rnacentral:rRNA from 1 species
UGGGGGAUAUUGCACAAUGGAGGAAACUCUGAUGCAGCGACGCCGCGUGAGGGAAGAAGGUUUUCGGAUUGUAAACCUCUGUCUUCGGGGACGAUAAUGACGGUACCCGAGGAGGAAGCCACGGCUAACUACGUGCCAGCAGCCGCGGUAAUACGUAGGUGGCAAGCGUUGUCCGGAAUUACUGGGUGUAAAGGGAGUGUAGGCGGGGUUUUAAGUUGAAUGUUAAAUCUAUCGGCUCAACCGGUAGUCGCGUUCAAAACUGAAACUCUUGAGUGAAGUAGAGGCAAGCGGAAUUCCUAGUGUAGCGGUAAAAUGCGCAGAUAUUAGGAGGAACACCAGUGGCGAAGGCGGCUUGCUGGGCUUUUACUGACGCUGAGGCUCGAAAGCGUGGGGAGCAAACA